rnacentral:piRNA from 1 species
CCAAAUAGCCGAAUCCGAAAUUGCCUC